GACUACCGGGGUAUCUAAGCCGGUUCGCUCCCCACGCUUUCGUGCCUCAGCGUCAGAAAUGGUCCAGUAGCCUGCCUACGCCAUUGGUGUUCCUUCUUAUAUCUACGGAUUUCACUCCUACACAAGAAAUUCCAGCUACCUCUACCAUUCUCGAGCUUACCAGUUUGGAUAAUAGACUGAAUGGUUGAGCCACCAGCUUUCACUAUCCACUUAAUAAGCCGCCUACGCAACUCUUUACGCCCAGUCACUCCGGAUAACGCUUGGGUCCUACGUAUGACCGCGGCUGCUGGCACGUAGUUAGCCGACCCUUAUUCGUAUAUUACCGUCAUAUUCUUCGUAUACAAAAGCUGUUUACGACCCGAAGGCCUUCAUCCAGCACGCGGUGUUGCUCCAUCAGGGUUGCCCCCAUUGUGGAAGAUUCCUCACUGCAGCCGCCCGUAGG
rnacentral:rRNA from 1 species